GAGGGUAUAGCUCGGCAGUAGAGUGCCUGCUUAGCAUGCAUGAGGUCCUGGGUUCAAUCCCCAGUACCUCCA
rnacentral:tRNA from 1 species